GUGCAUGCUGCUGCGGUGGAAAGCAGGGCAGGACCACCUGGGGGAAGGAACCCAGUGGGGUCUGUGCGUACAGACAGGGGAGGAGAUAAUCCCUGUGGAGACAGGAGCCAGGAGCCUCUAGGGCGGUACAAGCCCCUUCCCCUCCAUGGCGAGAAGAGUGGGUUUGCACGUCCCACCCAGGUCUUUAAGGGAGGGUGACACCAGCUUCCACGGAGCCCAUGGAUGGCUCUCCUAGAUUUGCACCUGUCGCUCUUCCCACCUUUCCACACGAGGCAGGCUGGCUCAGGGCCAAGAGGCUUCUCUCACAAGCCAGGAACGUGAGAGGCCAGAGGACACAAGAAUAUCUGGGCACAGAAUACAUUUAGCGCCUUCUCUAGCCUCUACUUCCUGAGGGUAUGAAGAGGAGAACUGGGCUGUUUCAUCUUUGUGUCUCCGAAUGAAUUAUGCAUCUGGCAACCUUUCUAUUUUAACUGUCCCGUUUCGAUUGCCCAAUGGGGGAAAAACGU